GAGCGGCGGACGGGUGAGUAACGCGUAGGAAUCUACCUGGUAGUGGGGGACAACUCGGGGAAACUCGAGCUAAUACCGCAUACGCCCUGAGGGGGAAAGCGGGGGAUCUUCGGACCUCGCGCUAUCGGAUGAGCCUGCGUUGGAUUAGCUUGUUGGUGGGGUAAUGGCUCACCAAGGCGACGAUCCAUAGCUGGUCUGAGAGGAUGAUCAGCCACACCGGGACUGAGACACGGCCCGGACUCCUACGGGAGGCAGCAGUGGGGAAUAUUGCGCAAUGGGCGGAAGCCUGACGCAGCCAUGCCGCGUGUGUGAAGAAGGCCUUAGGGUUGUAAAGCACUUUCACUUGGGAGGAAAAGGUUGCGGUUAAUAGCCGUAGCUCUUGACGUUACCUUGAGAAGAAGCACCGGCUAACUCCGUGCCAGCAGCCGCGGUAAUACGGAGGUGCGAGCGUUAAUCGGAAUUACUGGGCGUAAAGCGCGCGUAGGCGGUUUGUUAAGUCGGAUGUGAAAGCCCCGGGCUCAACCUGGGAAUUGCACCCGAUACUGGCCGACUGGAGUGCGAGAGAGGGAGGUAGAAUUCCACGUGUAGCGGUGAAAUGCGUAGAUAUGUGGAGGAAUACCGGUGGCGAAGGCGGCCUCCUGGCUCGACACUGACGCUGAGGUGCGAAAGCGUGGGUAGCAAACAGGAUUAGAUACCCUGGUAGUCCACGCCGUAAACGAUGUCUACUAGCCGUUGGGGAACUUGAUUCUUUGGUGGCGCAGUUAACGCGAUAAGUAGACCGCCUGGGGAGUACGGCCGCAAGGUUAAAACUCAAAUGAAUUGACGGGGGCCCGCACAAGCGGUGGAGCAUGU
rnacentral:rRNA from 1 species